rnacentral:rRNA from 1 species
UACGGAGGGUGCAAGCGUUAUCCGGAUUCACUGGGUUUAAAGGGUGCGUAGGCGGGCAGGUAAGUCAGUGGUGAAAUCCUAGAGCUUAACUCUAGAACUGCCAUUGAUACUAUCUGUCUUGAAUAUUGUGGAGGUAAGCGGAAUAUGUCAUGUAGCGGUGAAAUGCUUAGAUAUGACACAGAACACCUAUUGCGAAGGCAGCUUACUACGCAUAUAUUGACGCUGAGGCACGAAAGCGUGGGGAUCAAACAGG